rnacentral:lncRNA from 1 species
UCUUUGGGAUGAGGGACCCAUCUGAUCAUCACUGGUAAGUCACUGAAUUUUUCACGUUCUUUUCCUUCUCAUGGAUAAUUUUUUAACAUUUCCAUCUUAUUUUGUCCUUUUCCACAUAUUAAACUAAGCUCUACUUAGAGCAGACCCAUUGAAAUUAAUGAACCUAGCACCAUUGAUUUCAAUGGGUUCACACUAAAUAUGUAUUGCAUUGGAUAUAACAACCUAUCAUUCAAACCAGACAAAGGAUGGGAACAAAAUUCAAUUUUGUUUGCAUUUUAAUGAGAAACUACCCAUUCCACACUUCUCAAAUCAACAUGAGAAUCGAGGCACAAUUAUCCUUUCAAAAUUUUCAAAUUUUCAGGCGCAGUCCUCCAACAAAAUAAUGUGUGCAAAAAUAUGUGUAUUAUGGGAAAGGUCCCCAAAAGACAUAUUUUCAUGAUAUUAACAUUAAUAGAUGCAUCAUAUUAGGGAAAAUAAGUUUCAAAAAAAAAUGUGUUAUUCAAACCUGCAUACAAAAAUGUGUGUAUUGGGAUAAAUUCAUGCUAAAAUGCUGGUGAAUUCUCCAGAGGAGUUUUUUAAAACCAAAAACCAAAAAAUAAACAGCCUCAAAAUGCUGUGGAAAUGUGGAGAACUUAACUGUAGGUUGAAAACAAUAAGAAACCCAAACUCACAAAUUCUCCCAUCCCUAACCCAGACUGAAUCUUUGACAUAACAAUAUAAAUUUAACUGAAGCCAGACCGGAAUGUUCAAAUCCCAUCUUGCCAUUUUACACCUCUCCCCCACUCCCAAAGUUGAGGAAUUUACUGGCAAAAGAAUUGGGGUAUCCCACCUCCUUUUCUUUGGGUGGGCCAAUGAGAUAAAUGUCUGCAGCUCUCUUCUGUGGCUACUCUCAAACUCUUGACAUACCCUUUCCGUUGGAUGGAAUAUGCAUCAGAAAAGCAAAUUUGAGUGAUAUCAUUCUACCAAAGCAACAUUAGGAAAUGCAAAUCCUGGAUCAUCCGGUCUAGAUUAUUUCUGCUGAGAAAGUCGGAAUUUUUUUAUUCCAUUCGUAGCCCUUAGCAUUUUAAAAAUAGAGUAAAAUCAAGGGAUACCCUCCUUUAUUUAUUUUAUUUAUUAGAUUUAUCUACCGCCCUUCAUUUAAAAAAACUAUAUCUCAGGGCAAUUCACAAACUUGAGAGGGGACAAUCCUAUGGAAAGAUUCACUGGGAUGAGCAGUUUAGGAUGUGGUGGAUCUCCAGCUGAUUCCUGACGCAGCUGGGCUCCGACAUCCUUAAGUCCCCAAACCUGGCUCAGCAUAACAUCCUCAUUCCAGCUCAACCAGAGCUAGGCUCGCUGAGCUGAGGCUGGUGAAAGUCCUCAAAAUGGGACUUUCUGGGGGCAGGAACAGAGGGAAGAGGACUUAGGCACUAUCCUAAGCCAGGAAGGAAGAAUACACUUGUGUAAGGGGAUGAGUGUAUUCUAUGAUUUCUCUCUAAUGCUCUUUGGACCCAUAAAGUAAUUCAGAGUGGCACGGUUGUGAGACAUUCACCUGAAAAGUGAUGUAUGAAAGGCAGAGCACUGAGAAGUAUGUAACGAGAUGGGCAUGUUCUUAGAUGUUGGAGGUCUUUAUGGAUCAAGCUAGCAUUAAGAGGAGAUCAGAGGAUGUGCUCAGCUCCCUGAAGGUACAACUUUUUCUUCCUGGUUGAUCAGGAAGUUGUACCUUCAGGGAGCAAAGCACAUCCUCUGAUUUCCUCUUAUUGCUAGCUUGCUCCAUAAAGGCUGGCUUGUGCUCUAGGCAAUUCCACUCUCCACACGGCCUCCCUUCUCUUUGGAAUAAUAAUAAUAAUAAUAAUAAUAAUAAUAAUAAUAAUAAUAAUAAAAAAUUUAUACCCCACCCAUCUGGCUGGGUUUCCCCAGCCACUCUGGGCAGCUCCCAACAGAAUAUUAAAGAAACAAUGAAACAUCAAACAUUAAAAACCUCAUUAAACAGGGCUGCCUUCAGAUGUCAUCUAAAAGUCAGAUAGUUGUUUAUCUCCUUGACAUCUGAUGGGAGGGCAUUCCACGGAGAAUCCCUUUUGUAUGUUAUCUUCUAAUGGUAGCACAUCCAUAACAUUUAAUACAUGUCACUGAUGGCAUUUCUUUAGCAAGGAAGCUCUCCCAGUUCCUGCAAGUUGUUUUCAUUUCAAAAGAAAAAGACUUUGGCACGUGGGACAAUAUGGGGAGACAUGUGUCCACAGGUGCAUCGAUGCUUUAAUUUCCUUUAACAGAAGUGUGAACUUGAAAGGGAAAGUAAGACAUGUGGCAAGAACAUCCGUACUCUGAUGUUUGCUGAAGGUGUUAUAGUUUAUUGAUGCAACAGAAAAUAAUAACAAAAAUCUAGAAAGAAAGAAAGAAAGAAAGAAAGAAAGAAAGAAAGAAAGAAAGAAAGAAAGAAAGAAAGAAAGAACAGCCUGCAAGCCCACCUGGUCCAAUAUCAUCUUCCCUUCUGUGGCCAGUAUUGGUGCCUCUUGCAAGUUGAGAUGCAGGACAUGAAUGUAGGAAGCCCAUAUUUUUUGUUCCAUAUUAUUGUCUCCAAACUUGGAGUGAUGCCAAUUACCAGUAGUUACCACAGUCUUUAUUAGUUAUCCAAGGGCCAUAAAUUCUUUUCUUUUUUUAAUCAUUAAAAGCAUGAUAAAAAAAUCAGCAUAUCACAUCCACACUUCCAUCUACAGCACAACAAUGCAAACAGGCAAUACUCCUUUGCUCAAUGUGAUUGUCAUUUGACCCUGUACUUUUAGUUCAAAGUUGGCCAUCAGCUUUUUCUUUUUUUCCCCACCCAACAUUUAUUUGCUCUAGAUUAGUGGUUCUCAACCUGUGGGUCCCCAGAUGUUGUUGGACUACAACUCCCAUCAUCCCUGAGCUCUGGCCUUGCUAGCAAGGGGUGAUGGGAGUUGUAGUUCAGCAACAUCUGGGGACCCACAGGUUGAGAAAGGCUGCUCUAUAUCAUAUUGACAGUCAAUCGUAUGGGAUUUGGCCCAUUCCUUUUUAGCAGGACUGCAACUAGGAACCUGGCUGGAUCAAAUAUAAUCUGAUGAUUCUGAGCUGUCAAUCACAAGGACCAAUAUAUUCUCUUCUCUCCAAUUCCUGUUGCCCCCCAACCAUUUUAUGAUUAAUUUCUGCUCACAUUCACACCGUGCAUUUAAAGCACCAUGAUACCACUUUCAAUAGUCAAAGAAUCCUGGGAGCAGUUAAGGGAGCUUAGAGUCAACAGCUUUCUCUGAUUCAGAAGAAGCACAAUCGCCUUCCCUGGAGACAAUUUGGACCGCCUUUAUUAUAAUCAUUGUACAUAGCUUCUGGAAUCUCACAUGCCCCUUUGGCAUCUUGGCAAUGAACUAUUAGGAGAUGCUCAUCUCCUAGUAACUGUCAGGGCCUGGGCAGAGGAGAAGUGGUGGAGACCGCCUCCCCAUCCUGACCCUUCCAGGGAGGAGGAAGAGGAAGACAGUGUAGAUUUACCACAGGGGUUUGAGGGAGGUCACAUAUGAAGGGAAAAGUUGGGAAAUAAUGGGAGAGGAGGAGGAGGCAGAACCAGUUUGACCACUGGCUGACAUGCCUUAAAGGUAGGAGAGCAAAGAGCUCAAAGACAGAGGGCACAUAGCAGCACCUAUAAAAGGUAAAGGUAAAAGGACCCCUGACCAUUAGGUCCAGUCGUAGCCGACUCUGGGGUUGCAGCGCUCAUCUCGCUUUACUGGCCAAGGGAGCCGGCAUAAAACCUCCAGGUCAUGUGGCCAGCAUGACUAAGCCGCUUCUGGUGAACCAGAGCAGCACACGGAAAUGCCAUUUACCUUCCCUCUGGAGCGGUACCUAUUUAUCUACGUGCACUUUGACGUGCUUUCGAAUUGCUAGGUUGGCAGAAGCAGGGACCGAGCAACUGGAGCUCACCCCGAACUUUGCUUCAGGAUGAGAACAGAAAUUGCGCGGUGGCGGCACGGUGGCAGCAGCGGGAGGCUCCAUUAGCUAAAGUAGUACCUCAGGUUAAGAACAGUUUUAGGUUAAGAACGGACCUCCAGAACGAAAUAAGUUCUUAACCCAAGAUUCAAAGGCAGCUCGGAAGUCAAACAGCUUCCAAGGCGUGUUUCUCGGUUUUCCCCAUUGAACUUGCUGACAGUCCUUUGAUCCUCGGUUUUCGAACAUUUCAGAAGUUGAACGGACUUCCAGAAUGGAUUACGUUCGAAAACCGAGGUAAUAAUAACGUAGUAAUAAUAACGUAGUGCAAUAUUUGCAGCAAUUCUUUGUCUCUGAGUAAGCCUUGUGCUGCUUACUAAAGUGACAUGCAGCAGCAUUCAUAACUCCCUUUUUCUCCAAAUGUACCCAUUCUUCACUUUUUGAGCCCUGUAAAUCCUUAUGUCAUUCCUAUUCUCUUCCGUAAAAUAUAAGCAUUUCUUAUUCAGGAUGCAAGCCUGGGCAGUGUGAAUGGAGGUCCUGGGCUACUUGAAGGACAAGAUCCCACUCUCAACCUCGUUUGUUGUGGCCCAAAGGAAAGCAGAGCAAUACAUUGUCACCAACUUCAGUGGCGUAGCGUGGGGGGUGCAGGGGGUGCCGGUCGCACCGGGCGCAACAUCUGGGGGGGGGGCGCUCGCACUCGCAGCUCUCUGCCCCUACCUGGCUCACUCACUCUCUCUCACUGCAGUGCUGGCUGUGCGAAUCCGAUCCGAGCCGCUGGGUCGCUGCCCACUGUGGAGCGGUGCAGAGAGAGAGGGAGGGACUAUCUGGGGGAGGGACAGUGCAGCGGCCGCCCAGCGCAGCGCUGAGCGCGGGAGAGAACCACACCAGACCAGACCAGGCAGCAGCAAGAAGAAGCUGGCAGCGGCGGCAGGUUAGGGGUUAGGGGGCACAAAUUACUUGCCUUGCCCCGGGUUAGGGGGCACAAAUUACUUGCCUUGCCUUGGGUUAGGGAGCGCAAAUUACUUGCCUUGCUGACAACCCACGCUACGCCGCUGCCCAGCUUGGCUGCAGAAGUUGCCAGAAGGAGGCGUACAAGGCUCCAUCCAACCAUUUUAGGAUUUGUGUAGGGUUUAUUCCUUAGCCUUUUCUUCUCCCAAAGAUAUCCCACAAGGCAGCCGAGGUUUAGGAUCAGAGUUUUGCUUCUCCUAGAUGGACUGCCUUCCCAGGUUGAUGAGCCCCGUCUGCCCCUCGUUUCCCUCUGCAGAAUGUGCAGAAACCACCUUCUUGACCAUUGGACCUGCUAUUGGUCUCGUCUGCUCAAUCCACUGCAGCCUGUCAAUCAAUCAACGAUUUAACUUCUACAUCGCUUAAUAUAUUAAGAUAUCUCCAAGCGGUGUACAAAAAAUUAAAGCGACAACUGACAACUGAAACAGAAUAUUACAGAAAUAGUUACAUAAAGAAAUGUUACUUUAAUACAAAGUUGCUAAUACCAUAUUGGCCUGAAUAUAAGCCACACUUUUUUUCCAAAUUCCAACUGUGAAAAGUUAAAAUGCAGCUUAUGUUAGCGACCUUACACCGCCAGCAAAGUGGCGCGGCUCCCCCAUCCCCAUGAAGCAGCCCGGGUAUUGUCUUUGUUCCUCCCCCCCCCCCCGACUUUUAAAGGUGUUGCUUAUAUUCGGGUGCGGCUUAUAUGCGGGCCGAUACGGUACAUAUAAAUCAAUUUCGAUUCAUUUUCCUUCUGACACAUCCUUCCUCCCAGCCUCUUGGUUCUCACUCAGGGUCCGACAAAUGCUCCGCUCACAUACAAAAGACUCACAACAAGAAUAGUUCCUGGAAACAGCAGACAUCACCCUAGUCUCUCACUCUAGACUUGCUUUUUAUGGGCAGGCCCAAGGUGGCUGGUACUUCCUCAAGCUGCCCACAAACCAGGGUCCAUUUAGCUAGACUCUCCACACCCAGUUCAAGGUUUGCUGAGUUUCCCAGAGGGUCCAAAGGAUUAGAAGACAAGGCCUCUCCACUCACAGCUCUUUCUGCCCUCUCCUUCUCCCCCAGCUGAGCUUCUGCCCCAUGGCAGGGGAUAGUUGUGCUUUCUUCUCCCUUUGUGUUGGUGAAACAUCCAAAGCCACUCAGUAGGGUCACAGAGGAUGGCAAGGGGAUGGAAGUCAGUGCACAUCACCAGAACCAGUCCCUACAAACACGGUGGCCUCUCUGGCCUCACAUGUAGAGGAAGUCCCUAACUCACAGAGGGUUUGAGACCCAUCGGCUACCCACACCUGGUUGAGGUGGCCAGUCGAAACCAUUCCUCCAGCAUGGCCACACUCACACCCUGACAGAUGCUAGGAACCACAGGUGAGAGUUGAGUGCAAGGUGGGAACCAAAGGUGGGCAAACUACCCCAGAAGGAGCAUGAUGUGUGUCCCACCAGAGAUAAGACCCCAUGCUGUGUGCCUGCGUAUGGUAUUCCAUUUGAAUUGUGGCAUAAAUAUCUUUCAGGGAAAUAUCAAUACACUUACAAUACUCAGCGACUGGUCUGUACUCAUGGAGAUCAACAUUUCCCCAGACUGGCCAUCAAACAGUGGUCUGCAACGUCCCCCCCCCCCCCAGUCACCUGUCAAUUGCAAACAGAAGUUUGAUAAGGGGGAGUAAAUUCACAGAAGUGCAGUGCAGUCAAAGUUAAGCACUUUGCUGGGCCAUUGAUUCCAGUUGAAGAGGUAAGUGAUGGACAUUUAAAUAUGCUUAAUUUUGGCUGGAUCACUGGUGCUACUGUCACCAGCUAGACUGGUGACUGGGAGUGGCCACCGAGACCAAAUAAGACCAGUCCUGAAAGACCUACAUUGGCUCCAAGCAUGUUUCCAAGCACAAUUCAAAGUGUUGGUGUGGACCUUUAAAGCCCUAAUUGGCCUUGGCCCAAUAUACCUGAAGGAGCAUCUCCACCCCCACUGCGGUCCAGCUCCGAGGACCUUCUGGCAGUUCCCUCCCUGCGAGAAGUGAGGUUACAAGGAACCCAUCAGAGGGCCUUCUUGGUAGUGGUGCCCGCCCUGUGGAACGCCCUCCCAUCAGAUGUCAAGGAGAUAAACAACUAUCUGACUUUUAGAAGACAUCUGAAGGCAGCCCUGUUUAGGGAAGUUUUUAAUGUUUGAUAUUUUAUUGUGUUUUUAAUAUUCUGUUGGGAGCCGCCCAGAGUGGCUGGGGAAACAUUAUUAUUAUUAUUAUUAUUAUUACUACUACUACUACUACAACUACACUACUACUACUUGGCAUUGUAGGUCACAAUAGUCAGGUGCACAUGAAACAAGAAUACUUUUUGGUUUGACCUAGCCAAAGCUAAGAAUAAGAGCACAGGAAGAGUCCUUUUGGAUCAGGUUGGCGGUUCGAAUCCCCGCGACGGGGUGAGCUCCCGUUGCUCAGUCCCUGCUCCUGCCAACCUAGCAGUUUGAAAGCACGUCAAAGUGCAAGUAGAUAAAUAGAUACCACUCCAGCGGGAAGGUAAACGGCAUUUCCGUGCGCUGCUCUGGUUCACCAGAAGCGGCUUAGUCAGGCUGGCCACAUGACUUGGAAGCUGUACACAGGCUCCCUCAGCCAAUAAAGCGAGAUGAGCACCACAACCUCAGAGUCAUCUGCGACUGGACCUAAUGGUCAGGGGUCCCUUUACCUUUUUAAAAGCCUAUCUAGCCCAGAACUUACAGUGACCAACCAGAUGCCUUCUGGAAGCCUGCAAGCAAUGCUUGAGUGAAACAGCAGCUCUCCCCACCUACAGCUUUUACCAACUCUCAUUCAAAGUCAUACUGCCUCUGACUAGAGGUACAGCACAGCCAUUGUGCCUUGAGGUCUAUAACUGCAGUGUUGAAAGUGAAUAUCUGAGAUGAUAUGUCACCCUUUCCUUGAGCUCCAGAUUUGAUUACGGUGGUUCACAUUCUUACCAGGACAACAUGCACAGAGAGAGUUGAUGGAUUAUACCGAAAUGGCCAAAAUGAACAGAAGAAUCAGAAAUCAGGAAGACCAAAAUUUUUAUAAGGAAUGGAGAAAAAUUAUAAUUUGUCUUAAAAACCAUUGUAAACAGCUAAAACUGUUAGUAGGAUUGGAAUAACACUUGUAGUUUAAUGGUGAAUUUUGGACAUAAUGGAGAUGUAAAAGAUUUGGAUUAUUAUAAAAGAUGCGGGAGGAAAUGACUAACAAUAGGACCCACAAAGGGGAGGUGGGAAGUCCACAAAAUUCUUUGGAAUCUUGUUUUUAUGCUGUAUGUUGGAUAUGUGAUUGUAAAACUUUAAUCUGAAAAACCAAAUAAAUAAAUAAAUUUAUUUAAAAAAAAAAAAAGCAUGCAGAGAGAGACAAGAGUGGCAGUAAGAAGAGUUCAUUUUUUAAAAAAAAUCUAGCUCAUUAAAGUUGAUGUGGGAGAUUCAAAGUUAUACUCGGAGAAGAGUUUUUGAAAUUAGUUAAGUGGGUCUACCGUGAAUGUGGCUUAGCUGAAUAUUGUCUGUUUAGCUAUGAUUGAUUUUAAUGGGAGAGCUUGCGCACACAUUCAGAUCUCUUCCAUUGACAACAAUGGAGCUCUGAAAUGCUCAGGUUUGGCUGGGUCGUGCCCCACAUGUUUAUUUUACAAAAGAGCCUACAUGGGAAAGUAAACACCAAAAAUAAUGAGCUUUCAACAGAAGGAAAGGCAUCUCUUUGCUUUACUCUUCUAGACUCGAUACUUUUGAGCCAUCUAUGAAAUUUGAGGGUCGCUUGCAUUCAUCUUGGGGACAUUUCCCGCCCCUGCCCACAGACAUCUUUAUUGAAAGUUCAAAAAGUACAUAGUACUUUGUGCACUAAACAUAAUGAGACGUACAUAAAAGAGAGAAAGAGAGAAAGAGAGAAAACAGCACCUGUGUAGAAGGGAAAAUAAAGGGGAGAGGGGGAACCCAAAACUGUAUACUUUACAGAGUUGUUAUUGUACUUCAAAAGAUCUUAACCUAUUACAGUAUUGGUAAGAAUAUCAUUGAAUUUGUCCAUGGCAAGUCUGCAUUUAUAUGCAGGUUGUUCAUAUGUUGCAAGUUUGUAUAAGUCUUCAAUCCAAUCAUAGAAGGGAGCCACAUUUUUAUUUUUCCAAUUCAUCAGUAUCAGUCUUUUUGAUGUGGUAAGGGCACAGAGCAUCUUAAAAAAGCAUCUUAAAAAGCAGAGACAUCAUCUUGCCAACAAAGGUCCAUAUAGUUAAAGCUAUGGGUUUCCCAGUAGUGAUGUAUGGAAGUGAGAGCUGGACCAUAAAGAAGGCUGAUCACCGAAGAAUUGAUGCUUUUGAAUUAUGGUGCUGGAAGAGACACUUGAGAGUCCCAUGGACUGCAAGAAGAUCAAACCUAUCCAUUCUGAAGGAAAUCGGCCCUGAGUGCUCCCUGGAAGGACAGAUCCUGAAGCUGAGGCUCCAAUACUUUGGCUACCUCAUGAGAAGAGAAGACUUCCUGGAAAAGACCCUGAUGUUGGGAAAGAUUGAGGGCACAAGGAGAAGGGGACGACAGAGGACGAGAUGGUUGGAUAGUGUUCUCGAAGCUACCAGCAUGAGUUUGACCAAACUGCGGGAGGCAAUGAAAGACAGGAGUGCCUGGCGUGCUCUGGUCCAUGGGGUCACGAAGAGUCGGACACGACUGAACGACUAAACAACAACAACAACAAAUGGCACGGAGAGUCCACUCGUGUUGUCCUUUUGUAAGUUUCUAUGUGCUGGGUAUAUAAUUCAAGAGGACAUUUUGCUCCGUAAAUGUAAGGUUGUUCUAUACAGUUCUGUUGAUAGUUUCAGUUACCUUCUCCCAAAAACUUUUCAACAUAGGCCAAUGAAAAAACAUAUGUUUUAGAGAAGCAUUAUACCUAUUACAUCUCCAACAGUUAGAUACCUUAGAUAGGCCUUUUUUAAAGCAAAUGUAAUGGGGUCCAGUAUAUUCUAAAACUUGGGGACAUUAAAAAUAUGUGUGUGUAUCAGGACUGUGUACGACCAAACCAGCCACGUAGACAAGAGACUACCAGCCCGUGGCUGCUGACGUGUCCUGACCUUCUGCUCCAUCAGAAACCAGUUAAUGACAGUUAACCGAAAAGGGGUUUCCGAUUGCUCUGCGGAGGCAGCUGUGAGAUGAACAAGCAGCUCUGAGCCCAGAAGAAAGACGUGGACAACAGGGACUGCAACUGAAAAAUAAUAAUGAUAAUAAUGGUCUUUCAGUUCCUAGAAUAGCACCACCCAUUUUGCAACCAAGAGAUGAGACGAGUUAGCAGGAGGAAAUGCGAGAGGGGCCUGGGCAACCAGCUGUAGGUUGAGCAGGGAGGAAGAGACUCAGAGCAGUGGGGGUGGGGCAGAUUUAGGCCCAGGUCAUUGUUGCCUUCCCACAGGUGCCAGGCUGAGCUACUAUGGGUGACGGCAGAGGGUGAGGGCGACGACAAGGUCCAUUGCUUUUGUUCCGCUCAGCCAAGCUCGUGUUAUUGAAGCUCGCUGCUUGAAUUCCAUUAACAGAGCAGAACAGCACAGACGCCAACGUUUUGUAGGCAGAAAUAGCAAUGUGCUCGCAAUGCGUCGCUCCCCCAAUGCACACACACCUUUUUCAUACUGGUUAGUGGCCUACAUGGUCUUCUGUAUCAACAUACCCUCUAACUUGACUCUGAUGGAAAUAGAGAUGUCCUAUUCAACAACAAAUUCUUCUUCUUCUCCUCCUCCUCCUUCUUUGGUGAUCACUUGUAGCUGAGUAAGAUUGUAUUCCAUAAACAUAGUUUUAAAAGUGAGUCUGUAAGUGACUGUGGAGGCCAAUUCUGGAUCCACACAUCCUUCCACAGUGGCGACAUAGGUUUCCGGGCAGGAGUUGAUCACAGCGAGGGUUUGCCAAGCGUGCCUUCCACUUAGCACAUUUCUCCCUUUCAUCCUGAGUUUGAGCGUCUUCAAAGCCCAUGACACCUUUGGUAAAGGCUGUUCUCCAAUUGGAGCUUUCGCAGGCCAGUGUUUCCCAAUUGCUGGUGUUUAUACUACAUUUUUUAAAAUUUGCCUUGAGAGAGUCUUUGAACCACUUUUGUUGACCACCAGCAUUGCGCUUCCCAUUUUUAAGUUCAGAAUAGAGUAGUUGCUUUGAAAGACGAUAAUCAGGCAUCCAAACGACAUGACCAGUCCAACGAAGCUGAUGUUGAAGAAUCAUUGCUUCAUCACUGGAGUAUUCUUGCUGCUGUUGUAGCAUACAUAAAAAAAGUUCUAUCCUUCUUUGGCACCAAUUGGCCGACCAUGCCCAGGAGAAAGGCCUCUGGUUUCUUCAGAAAGGUAUAUUUAAAUACCUUUUCAUUUCAUUAUAAAUCAUCUCCCAGAAUGUCUUAAUCCUUGGGCAUGUCCACCAAAGAUGAAAGAAUGUACCUUCAGUCUCAUUACAUUUCCAACAUUUAUUUUCGGGCAAAUGGUAAUUUUUUGCAAGCUUGACUGGUGUCAUGUACCACCUAUAAAUCAUUUUCAUUAAGUUUUCUCUUAGGGCAUUACAUGCCGUAAAUUUCAUACCUGUGGUCCAUAACUGUUCCCAGUCAGCCAUCAUUAUAUUAUGUCCGACAUCUUGUGCCCAUUUAAUCAUAGCUGAUUUCACCAUUUCAUCCUGAGUGUUCCAUUUCAACAGCAACUUAUACAUUUUUGACAAAUUCUUAAUUUUUGAGUUUAACAGUUCUGUUUCCAAUUUUGAUUUUUCCACCUGGAAACCAACUUUUUUGUCCAAAUUAUAUGCCUCCAUUAUUUGAUAAUAAUGGAGCCAAUCUCGCACUUUAUUUUUCAAUUUUUCAAAGCUCUGCAAUUUUAGUCUGUCUCCCUCUUGUUCCAGAAUUUCCCAAUAUUUCGGCCAUUUGGCCUCCAUAUUGAGUUUUUUCUGUGCCUUCGCUUCCAUUGGUGACAACCAUCUUGGGGUUUUCUUUUCUAACAAAUCUUUAGAUCUUAUCCAUACAUUAAACAAUGCUUUUCUAACAAUAUGAUUUUUAAACGCUUUAUGUGCUUUUACCUUAUCAUACCACAAAUAUGCAUGCCAACCAAAUAUGUUGUUAAAACCUUCUAGGUCCAACACAUCAGUGUCUUCAAGUAGCAGCCAUUCUCUCAGCCAACAAAAAGCAGCUGAUUCAUAAUAGAGUUUUAGGUCUGGCAGGGCAAAUCCACCUCUUUCUUUAGCAUCAGUUAAUAUCUUAAAUUUUAUUCGAGGCUUCUUGCCCUGCCAGACAAAUCUGGAAAUAUCUUUCUGCCACUUCUUAAAACAAUCCAUCUUAUCCAAAAUUUGUAAUGUUUGAAACAAGAACAACAUCCUUGGCAGCACAUUCAUUUUUAUCACAGCAAUUCGACCUAAUAAUGAUAACUUCAAAUUUGACCAUAUUUCUAAGUCUUUUUUCACUUCAAUCCAACAUUUUUCAUAAUUAUCCUUAAAUAAAUUUACAUUUUUAAGCAGUCAUAUUAACCCCUAGAUAUUUCACUUUCUUAACCAAUGUUAGUCCUGUCUCUUCCUGAAAUUUCUCUCUCUCAUUUACAGUUAAGUUUUUCUCUAAGAGAGAGAAUGCAGCAGGACUUUUCUUCUGCUCCCAGUUACUGGGGAAGAGGGAAUUAUUAUUAUUAUUAGUAGUAGUAGUAUUAAUAUUAUUAUUAUUAUUAAUACCCCAAUCAUCAUCUGGCUGGGUUUCCCCAGCCACUCUGGGCGGCUCCCAACAGAAUAUUAAAAACACAAUAAACAUGUGGCGUUCCACAGGGCAGGUGCCACUACCAAACAGGCCCUCUGCCUAGCUCCCUGUAACCUCACUUCUCGUAAGGAGGGAACAGCCAGAAGGUGUCCAGGCAGAACGAUGGGGGUAGAGACGCUCCUUCAGAAUCUGAGGGAAACAACAGUGGUCUCCCCACCUUUGAUUCCCAGGGUCUGGUAUUCAGAUGCACAAAAUAUACAUACCUCCCAAAGCAGAUGCUCCAAAAGCUGGCUAUUAUUAUUAUUAUUAUUAUUAUUUGUAUACCCGCAGGUCUCAAGGUGGAUCUCAACACAAAAUCACAAUAUAAAAACACAAAAUACAUAAUAAAAACAAAAACAAGGGCAACCCAAUGAUCCCUCCUUCCCCAACACAUUUUAAAAGGGCAUUGGAUGUCAAUCAGCAUGGUGUCUAAAGGUGUAUAAUGAAGGUGCUAGGAGAGCCUCCCUGGGGAGAGCAUUCCACAAAUUGGGAGCCACUGCAGAAAAGACCCAUUCCCGUGUUCCCACCCUCUGGACCUCUUGUGGAGGAGGCACAUGAAGAAGGGCCUCAGAACAUGAUCUCAGGACAAUAGGGAGAGAGGCAGUCCUUGAGGUAUUGUGGCCCUGAGCAAUUAUUUAUUAAUAAUAAUAAUAGAUAGCCCUCUAUGAAUUUGUCUAAUCUCCUUUGAAAGAAAUAGGUAACAUAACAUGGCCAAAGUAAGUUGCAUGACAGAACAUCUGCUGGAAGAUUCAGCACAUGUUGGAGGGUACAGAGUUAUGCGACCCCCCCAAGACAAGGAGAUAAGUAACUAUACAACCUUUAGAACACACCUGAAGGCAGCCCUGUAUAGAGAAGUUUUUUUUAAAUGUUUUAUUACAUUUUGAUAUACAGUGGUACCUAGGGUUAAGAACUUAAUUCGUUCCGGAGGUCCGUUCUUAACCUGAAACUGUUCUUAACCUGAAGCACCACUUUAGCGAAUGGGGCCUCCUGCUGUCACUGCGCCGCUGCUGUGCGAUUUCUGUUCUCAUCCUGAAGCAAAGUUCUUAACCUGAGGUAAUAUUUCUGGGUUAGCGGAGUCUGUAACCUGAAGCGUCUGUAACCUGAAGCGUAUGUAACCCGAGGUACCACUGUAUGUUGGAAGCUGCCCAGAUUGCCUGGAACAACCCAGUCAGAUGGACAGGGUACCACUACUAUUUUUUCCAACUCUCCCAAAGAUGCCAUCAAUGGUGUCUCGGAAAAUUUUUACACAUCACCUGGGAAGACCAAGCCAGGUAAACUGCACUCUUGCUAGUUAUUGGAAGGAGGCUCCAACCCAUCACCCCAGCCUGUACUGUCAGCAGGUGAACCUAGGACAAUCCUUCAUGAAACUGACAAAGUGGACUCUAGGCCACAGAAGCUUAGGUCACACUAAAUUUAGCUCUGAGGUGCUGCAGGGCUUGUGGUUGCUUGCAAUUAUGGUUGGUUAAUCGAUACCUUGCUUGAAUUAUUGCAUUUCGCUUGAAGUUUGGAUUGCAAGUCCACCAAGGGAGCUGGCCCUGCUCAUCACUUUAACCUGCCUCGAAUGUGAGCUUUCCUGAAAGUACCUCCUGGCCCCCAUUGCAAACAGCAUACAAGAUGGCCCCGGAAGUUGCAUGACUCUUGCAAGACUGUAUAAGCUGAAUCCUGGAGUUGCAAGACUGUACAAGGUGAAUUUUGUAGUUACAAGGCCAUGCUAGAUACAUCUUACUGUAAAACAUGAAAAAGAUUUUUAGUACCUAUAAUGACAACGUCCCCUGGCCAGAACCCCUCUGACAUGAUUUUAUAUCUCCUCGCAGAGACAGAUAAGUAUGUGACCUGGCGUGUAGCACUUUUUGCAACUGCUGCUAGAAAAAUUAGAGCAAAUUAUAUAGCCAAGGUAGCCAUUAACUGUAAAGGAGAUGAAUUUAUUUGAUCCUAUCUAUUUACCUCAGGCUAUGCUCUAUCUUUGUCACCAAGUUCUGAGUAUAAAUUGCACACUGUAUUAAUUGACAUUGCUUUUAACAUUAGUGGCCAUGUGAUGAUUUUAGCUUAUGAAUUUUAUUGUUUAAUGUCUUGAUUUGUACAUUGGGGUACUUUUAUAGCUCUGUUUAGAGCACGUAAUGUUUUGAUAAUAUAAAUGUUUUAAGUCUUUUUUAUCAAUUCAGUAUAUUUUCUUUUAAUUGUCAAAUAAUUCUGUGUACAUUGCGGCAGCCUUUGGCUAUGUGCAAUAACACUGACUGAGACUGAGACUAAGAAUCUUGUGGUUGCAAGAUUCCUGCAUGGAGCAGUGGGCCAGUUCACGGGACAGCCAAGGUCCUACUCUAAAAUCCUGCAAUUUUAUCAUAGAUUUGUAUCUGUGAUUCAUGAAACCAUUGCUCUGAUCCCGCAGAUCUGUUCUUACAUUCUUCUUGUUCUGGCUUGGAUGACAAAGCACAUCGAAAGACCAAGUCAACCAACCUAAGGAUUAAAGUGUAUUUUAUUUACUUCUGUGAAUUUCUCGAGGCAGACCCACUCUUAGGCUUAUUGACAUUAUGUUUCCUUUAAAACGGCUAUUCAACGAAAGAAAACAAACUAAUUGAUUGCUGUUGUACAAGAUGUGGAAUCAGUAGGGUUGGGCCUUGGGGGAACGGCGACGUGUACUUCAGUUCUGCCGGGCAACACAGCGAACAUGUUUUUCUUUCUCCUUUCAGUCUUUCAUGAGUCACUGGUCUCUUCACACAGUUUCACUUCCUUUUCUGGAGGUGUUUGGCUUAUCUGUUCUAGUUUCUGAUUCGCCACUCUUGAGAGGAGAGGAUAAUUUUAGAACUGGGGAAUUUCCUGUAGCCUGAGCAGCUGCACUGAAACCCAGGUGGGGUGGGCACAGGGGGCCAAUUUAUCCUUUUGUGCUGUUCAGUGCUGACAACUCCCCAUCCCUUGUUUCCUGACUUUAUGGGAUGCAUUGUGGAUUCAAUCCCACUUUAGGACACCCUUGCUAUAUCAUUUUAAACACCUGCUAAACUCUAUUUUUGUUUGUCAGCCUACCCAGACAUAAAACUUCAUUAACUAUAUUUGUUUUAAAAGUUUUUUUUCUGAACUUAGUUGCAUUUUGGUGAUGGGGACUCUAUCAUCACCAAUGAUCUAUCUAUCAUCUAUCUAUAUCUAUCUAUCUAUCUAUCUAUCUAUCUAUCAUCUAUCUAUCUAUAUCUAUCUAUCAUCUUUCUAUCAUUUAUCUAGCAUCUAUCUAUCUAUCUAUCUAUCAUCUACCUACCUACCUACCUAUAUCAUCUAUCAUCUUUCUUUCUUUCUUUCUUUCUUUCUUUCUUUCAUCUAUCUAUCAUCUAUCAUUUUUAAUUGUAUGACAGAUUUUGUUCAGUUUUACUGUAUUUACAACUACACUUCUUAGAGAGCUAUUUGAUUAGGCAGUUUAUAAUUCUUCCAAACAGAUACAUGCUUGCAACAACCUUUAUUGGUUUAGCACAUUUGUAACAUAAAGGCUACAUUUAACACCAGUCAUUUAAAACACUAUGAUGCCACUUUAAACAGUUAUUGCCAGGCCUAUGCACAGCUUCUCUGAAGCCCGGAGGGGGGGGGAGUCUUGUUCUUGGCAUGACAGCAGAAGUUUGGCAGACCCCUGGCACCCCCUUCCCAGCCUGCUUAGGCCUCCGAGGCUUGGGGCAAGGGUACAGGGCUGCCUCCCUUCUGCAAGGACCUGGUCAUUGCUUCCUGUAAAGAAUCCUGUGACAUGUACAGUGGUACCUCAGGUUAAGUACUUAAUUCAUUCCGGAGGUCCGUACUUCACCUGAAACUGUUCUUAACUUCAUAGAAUCAUAGAAUAGAAUCAUAGAGUUGGAAGAGACCACAAGGGCCAUCGAGUCCAACCCCCUGCCAAGCAGGAAACACCAUCAGAGCACUCCUGACAUAUGGUUGUCAAGCCUCUGCUUAAAGACCUCCAAAGAAGGAGACUCCACCACACUCCUUGGCAGCAAAUGCCACUGUCGAACAGCUCUUACCGUCAGGAAGUUCUUCCUAAUGUUUAGGUGGAAUCUUCUUUCUUGUAGUUUGGAUCCAUUGCUCCGUGUCCGCUUCUCUGGAGCAGCAGAAAACAACCUUUCUCCCUCCUCUAUGUGACAUCCUUUUAUAUAUUUGAACAUGGCUAUCAUAUCACCCCUUAACCUCCUCUUCUCCAGGCUAAACAUGCCCAGCUCCCUUAGCCGUUCCUCAUAAGGCAUCGUUUCCAGGCCUUUGACCAUUUUGGUUGCCCUCCUCUGGACACGUUCCAGUUUGUCAGUGUCCUUCUUGAACUGUGGUGCUCAGAACUGGACACAGUACUCCAGGUGAGGUCUGACCAGAGCAGAAUACAGUGGCACUAUUCCUUCCUUUGAUCUAGAUGCUAUACUCCUAUUGAUGCAGCCCAGAAUUGCAUUGGCUUUUUUAGCUGCCGCAUCACACUGUUGGCUCAUGUCAAGUUUGUGGUCAACCAAGACUCCUAGAUCCUUGUCACAUGUACUGCUCUCAAGCCAGGUGUCACCCAUCUUGUAUUUGUGCCUCUCAGUGUUUUUGCCCAAGUGCAAUACUUUACAUUUCUCCCUGUUAAAAUUCAUCUUGUUUGUUUUGGCCCAGUUCUCUAAUCUGUCAAGGUCGUUUUGAAGUGUGAUCCUGUCCUCUGGGGUGUUAGCCACCCCUCCCAGUUUGGUGUCAUCUGCAAAUUUGAUCAGGAUGCCCUUGAGUCCAUCAUCCAAGUCGUUGAUAAAGAUGUUGAAUAAGACCAGGCCCAAGACAGAACCCUGUGGCACCCCACUAGUCACUCUUCUCCAGGAUGAAGAGGAACCAUUGAUGAGCACCCUUUGGGUUCGGUCAGUCAGCCAGUUACAAAUCCACUGAGUGGUAGCAUAGUCAAGACCGCAUUUUACCAGCUUCUUUACAAGAAUAUCAUGAGGCACCUUGUAGCACCACUUUAGCUAAUGGGGCCUCCUGCUGCUGCCGCGCCGCCGGAACACAAUUUCUGUUCUCAUCCUGAAGCAAAGUUCUUAACCUGAAGCACUAUUUCUGGGUUAACGGAGUCUGUAACCUGAAGCGUAUGUAACCUGAAGCGUAUGUAACCCGAAGUACCACUGUAGUUUGCUAAGGGUGCUUAGAGUUGUUAGGUGGUCCCUAUUCCCUUCCCAGAGCUACAAUUCCAACAGUUCCCUCGGAAGUGGGAUUGAUUGUUAAAUCAUUCUAAAAAUUAUCGGUUUGGGAGGAAAAUAGGGCUCUCCAAACAGCUCUUAGCACCCUUAACAAGCUACAGCUCCCAAAUUUUUUCAGGCAAAGCUAUUACCAUUUAAAGUGGUCAUACUGCUGACAAUGUAUGGUGUGGAUGUGGCCAAAGACCACAGAAGCUGUAUGCAAGAUAAAAUCAGGAUAAAACUCAAAGGCACAAGUGCCGAACAUAAUGAAAUUAUUUCAGCAACAUUUCAACGAACCUAAAAACCAGCAAACCAUCUUUACAACUUCUAAAAGCGUAGUAGAUAUAGAGCUGCUCUUCUGUAAAGGGCUGGGUCACCUAAACAUCAUGGCAUUAGGCGACUGUCCAGUUUGGGCUGAUAACCCAUUCCAGAGAGCUGGAGCCGCAACACUUAAAGCCCAGUUUCCACAGCAAUCUAUGCACACCUCAGGGCCACAUGAGACAUUCAGCAGUGUGCCAUCUGAGAAGUAUAGCUGCAUGGGGUGAGGCAAUCAGUGAUAGAUGCAGCACCAGAAAAUAAAUAGCAACCAUAGAAGGGAGAAGACACAUUGAUUGUGGACCCACAUGUUAGUGUUUUGAAAGAUAAUGUUUCGCCCUAAAUGUGUUUUCUGUGAAGCAAGUCCUACUGAUUUAGUUGGAGUUAUCUUUCAAGGAAGUAUGCUUACGAUUGCAGCCUCAGUUUAAUUGCCAGUGUAUGGGGAAAGUGCCUUUCCUUCCCAUAAUACCUGGGAUCCAAUAGAAAUGCUUGAGGAAUUUGAUCUUUGUGAAUCAAGGUAUGGAUCCCUAUCCUCUUGUGGGUUGGAGCACAGAUAUCCUUUGGAUCACACACUUUUCCUAAUUUUGUGAUGCAGUUCUUAAAAAAGCCACAAACUAUCAAAAAUACAUUGUGAAUGGGCUUCCUCCCCCCGUGGCCAUAGAUAAGAAGAUCAAACGAAAGGAACAUCUUACCGGUUAGAAACUUUAAUAAUCCCAGCGAGAGAACAAAGAACACAUCUUCUAGAAAUGGUGAUGCUCCCAGUUAAGGUUCACUCCCCACUUCUGUCCCUAUUAAUCUACAUCACUCCUACAUCUUAUAAUCUGAGCUUUCUAUUUUGACAUUUUCUGAGUUCUCUGUGACUUUGGAGACAGGGGUGAAUGCUGUCCAGAGACUGUGAAUCUGUUAACUCUCUCUCCUCUAUUGUUUCUUCUCCUAGCUGUUCCCCAUCCAGGAUUUCCCAGCUUCUGCCUUCUGAACUAUGCCCCUCUGCAAACCACUGUUCCAAAUCUAUACUGUUCUCCUGCUCCUGGGAAGAUUCAGGGUCAAGAUCAUGGAGAGAGGGUGGCUCCCACCAUUCUUCUUCAGUGCAGCCCUCCUUAACCUCGGUCUCUGACAGGAGGCAGACCAUAGCCAUUGUGACUAGGAGCCAUCGAUGGCCUUCUGCUCCAUGACUUUGCCCAAUCCUCUUUUAAAGCCACCUCAGUUGGCAGCCAUCACUGCCUCCAGUGGGAGAGAGUUCCAUAGUUCAACCAUGGACUACCUGAAAAAGUAGUCAUUGUGGUCCCUUUCAGGUGUUGUUGGAUUCCAGCUCCCAUUAGCCUCAGCCAGAAUGGCCGAUGGGCAGGGAUGGUGGGAGUUAGAGUACAGCAAAAUAUGGAGGGCAGCACUUUGGCUACCCCACUGAUACACUAAUACAGCAAGAUGAUGCAGGGCCAGUGUAUAAAUUAUUCAUUUUUGGAAGUAUGGCAUGAGUUUAUUGCUUUUACAGGCAUGGAGGAAUUGGGCUGGUCUCUAUCUUUGCCUGGGGGUUUUAUGAACAGGGAAAUUUUUUAAAAAAUAGAGUUGAAUGUAAGAUGGCCUUAGCAGUCCACAAUAGUUACUCUGCAAUAUUUUCCAAGAUUCUUUAUCAUUUUUAUUUGCUCCAAUUUUUAAAUCAUUAUUUGUAUUAGUAUUAUAUUAUUUCUAUAUGGAUGAGGUGUAAUCUGAGAUGUAUAUGUUUUCCCACAGGUAUGAAAUUCAAUCAAACGUAUUUUUUACAUAUAAAAAAAUUACAAAAUGACAGGAUAGGAAGUUGACAUGCAUUCCGAGCAUCGAGAACGUCAGAGAAGAGUGCUCUUCCAGUGAAAAAGUAUCUUUGCAUAUCUGUGUCAAAAUUAGAAACAGCGAGCUUACCACCUGAAGAGCUGAAAGCUGCAGCUGGCUGAAACCAAGAAAGAAAGAAAGAAAGAAAGAAAGAAAGAAAGAAAGAAAGAAAGAAAG